rnacentral:rRNA from 1 species
UAUCAUGUCAUGAAUACAUAGUGGCAUGAGGCGAACCGGGGGAACUGAAACAUCUAAGUACCCCGAGGAAAAGAAAUCAACCGAGAUUCCCCCAGUAGCGGCGAGCGAACGGGGAAGAGCCCAGAACCUGAAUCGGCUUGUGUGUCAGUGGAAGCGUCUGGAAAGUCGCACAGUAAAGGGUGAUAGUCCCGUACACGAAGAUGCACAGGUCGUGAGUUCGAUGAGUAGGGCGGGACACGUGUUAUCCUGUCUGAAUAUGGGGGGACCAUCCUCCAAGGCUAAAUACUCCUGACUGACCGAUAGUGAACCAGUACCGUGAGGGAAAGGCGAAAAGAACCCCGGCGAGGGGAGUGAAAUAGAACCUGAAACCGUGUACGUACAAGCAGUGGGAGCACCUUCGUGGUGUGACUGCGUACCUUUUGUAUAAUGGGUCAGCGACUUAUAUUUUGUAGCAAGGUUAACCGAAUAGGGGAGCCGUAGGGAAACCGAGUCUUAACUGGGCGUCUAGUUGCAAGGUAUAGACCCGAAACCCGGUGAUCUAGCCAUGGGCAGGUUGAAGGUUGGGUAACACUAACUGGAGGACCGAACCGACUAAUGUUGAAAAAUUAGCGGAUGACUUGUGGCUGGGGGUGAAAGGCCAAUCAAACCGGGAGAUAGCUGGUUCUCCCCGAAAGCUAUUUAGGUAGCGCCUCGUGAACUCAUCUUCGGGGGUAGAGCACUGUUUCGGCUAGGGGGCCAUCCCGGCUUACCAAACCGAUGCAAACUCCGAAUACCGAAGAAUGUUAUCACGGGAGACACACGGCGGGUGCUAACGUCCGUCGUGAAGAGGGAAACAACCCAGACCGCCAGCUAAGGUCCCAAAGUCAUGGUUAAGUGGGAAACGAUGUGGGAAGGCACAGACAGCCAGGAUGUUGGCUUAGAAGCAGCCAUCAUUUAAAGAAAGCGUAAUAGCUCACUGGUCGAGUCGGCCUGCGCGGAAGAUGUAACGGGGCUAAACCAUGCACCGAAGCUGCGGCAGCGACGCUUAUGCGUUGUUGGGUAGGGGAGCGUUCUGUAAGCCGUUGAAGGUGUGCUGCGAGGCAUGCUGGAGGUAUCAGAAGUGCGAAUGCUGACAUAAGUAACGAUAAUGCGGGUGAAAAACCCGCACGCCGGAAGACCAAGGGUUCCUGUCCAACGUUAAUCGGGGCAGGGUGAGUCGACCCCUAAGGCGAGGCUGAAAAGCGUAGUCGAUGGGAAACAGGUUAAUAUUCCUGUACUUGGUGUUACUGCGAAGGGGGGACGGAGAAGGCUAGGCUAGCCGAGCGACGGUUGUCUCGGUUUAAGCGUGUAGGGGGAGUGACCUGGUAAAUCCGGUUGCUUNNNNNNNNNNNNNNNNNNNNNNNNNNNNNNNNNNNNNNNNNNNNNNNNNNNNNNNNNNNNNNNNNNNNNNNNNNNNNNNNNNNNNNNNNNNNNNNNNCUCGCGGAUGGAGCUGAAGCCAGUCGCAGAUACCAGCUGGCUGCAACUGUUUAAUAAAAACACAGCACUGUGCAAACACGAAAGUGGACGUAUACGGUGUGACGCCUGCCCGGUGCCGGAAGGUUAAUUGAUGGGGUUAUGGGUAACCAGAAGCUCUUGAUCGAAGCCCCGGUAAACGGCGGCCGUAACUAUAACGGUCCUAAGGUAGCGAAAUUCCUUGUCGGGUAAGUUCCGACCUGCACGAAUGGCGUAAUGAUGGCCAGGCUGUCUCCACCCGAGACUCAGUGAAAUUGAACUCGCUGUGAAGAUGCAGUGUACCCGCGGCAAGACGGAAAGACCCCGUGAACCUUUACUAUAGCUUGACACUGAACAUUGAGCCUUGAUGUGUAGGAUAGGUGGGAGGCUUUGAAGUGUGGACGCCAGUCUGCAUGGAGCCAACCUUGAAAUACCACCCUUUAAUGUUUGAUGUUCUAACUCGGCCCCCUAAUCGGGGGUGAGGACAGUGUCUGGUGGGUAGUUUGACUGGGGCGGUCUCCUCCCAAAGAGUAACGGAGGAGCACGAAGGUUAGCUAAUCACGGUCGGACAUCGUGAGGUUAGUGCAAAGGCAUAAGCUAGCUUGACUGCGAGAGUGACGGCUCGAGCAGGUGCGAAAGCAGGUCUUAGUGAUCCGGUGGUUCUGAAUGGAAGGGCCAUCGCUCAACGGAUAAAAGGUACUCCGGGGAUAACAGGCUGAUACCGCCCAAGAGUUCAUAUCGACGGCGGUGUUUGGCACCUCGAUGUCGGCUCAUCACAUCCUGGGGCUGAAGUAGGUCCCAAGGGUAUGGCUGUUCGCCAUUUAAAGUGGUACGCGAGCUGGGUUUAGAACGUCGUGAGACAGUUCGGUCCCUAUCUGCCGUGGGCGUUGGAAGAUUGAGAGGGGUUGCUCCUAGUACGAGAGGACCGGAGUGAACGCACCACUGGUGUUCGGGUUGUCAUGCCAAUGGCAUUGCCCGGUAGCUAAGUGCGGAAAAGAUAAGCGCUGAAAGCAUCUAAGCGCGAAACUUGCCUCAAGAUGAGUCUUCCCUGGGCCUUUAAGGCCCCUGAAGGAACGUUUAAGACUAAGACGUUGAUAGGCUGGGUGUGUAAGUGCAGCGAUGCAUUGAGCUAACCAGUACUAAUGAACCGUGAGGCUUAACCUU